rnacentral:sRNA from 1 species
UAUAUAUGGAUAUUUACAUACUGCCAUUAGACCUAGGAAACUCAACGAGCUUACAUUUCACUAUUCAACAAGUCACCAAGCGAACUUCUAUUCUAUAAAAAUGAAUAAUCUUAAUUCGCCACCUAGUAAAGCCAUGAAUCGAAAACGAAUCAAAAAGAGAAGUGUGUCCAUGAUAAGGAUGCAACCACCGGAAAAGCGGAUGCGUCUUGAAAAUGAAAUGGUAUUGGAAAUAAGGCGCAUUAAAGUUGAUCAAAAAGAAGAUAAUUCUGGUUAUAAUGUUAUCACUAAGGAAUAUUUAAUGGAUAAUUUCGAUGACACUGGCAUGGAAAUGCGUAUCUCUAAAUUGAAUUAGCAGUGAUAAAUUUCGAUUAAAUGCAUGCUCAUCAUGCUGCUUAUCAAAAUAUUGAUUAUGUUUUUCUCUAAAUUAGUUGCGACUGAACUAAUAAAUUUUGAUGGCGCCUAAAUUGGAUUAUUGAUACACUUAAAUUAUAAAUUGAAUGCGUUGCAGUUCUGCAAAACUUGGAAAUUUCAUUGCGACCCCUUGGAAAUUUGGUUUUCAUAAUGCACCUUGAUGUUGAUUGAAUAGCGCUUGCUGGAAUUAUAAAUAUAUGUUUUAGGUAAAAUACCUGAAAAUACGCAA